ACCUGAUCGUUUAUGAAAGUACAUAAUGUAACGAGUUGGAACAUAGUUGACCUGAUGGCUUAUGCAUGGAAAUACAUAAAUUAGCUAGUAAAAACAAACAUUUUUUUUACUUACCAUGCAAGUUCUGGACAAUAGACCAUUAAUUAUUUAUUUUUUGAGAACUUAGACCAUAAUUUCUCAUAAUCUCUUUUGGAAAUUAUAAUUUAAAGAAUAACAUAUCAUAUCAAAAAUGUUUUAUCUGGGACACAAGAGAACGCAUCCCAUUUCACUACCACUAGACCACCAAUAAUAUGGUUAUGUUGAAACAACUACUUAUAGGAAUAUAUAUCUACCCAGUAGUGGUCCUAACUUUUAAAAAACCACAAGCUAGCCGGAAAAAGGUAGAUGAAUUACACUUCUAGAUUAAAAUUUUUUUACAAAAAUUUGGCCAAAAUUUAAUUUAUAUUAUUAAGGGCCAGAAGCCCAUUCUUCUUCCCCUCAAAAACAUGACAUGCAUAUAUCUAUCCAAUGGUGGAAACAGAAAAUUUUCUAACUGGGAUAAAAAAUAUAAAAAUGUAUAAACUAUAAAAAAUCUUACAAGUGUAUUUUGUAUACUAGAACUAACUGUAUCCUCUAUGUCCACAUUCAAACUUACAAGAGUAAAAGGUUUUAUUGAGAAUUUUUUUUUAUCUCAUUUUAAAAUAUUUAAAUCAUAUUAUAAUAUUUAUUUUUAUUAGACCCUGCAAUAAAUUACUUAAUCAAUAUCAUCAUUUACUAGAUAAAAUCUUUUUUUCAAAAAAGAAUCUGUAUUUAUUUGAUAAAAUUAGAAUAAUUAGUUCUUUUAAAUUAGAAAAUAUUCAACUUAUAUAAUUAAAAUACAAAUCUUAAAAUCUAGGAAUUGAAUUAUAAUUUUUGAAGUGUAUAAAAUAUAAAGUAUGUAAUAUACAAGAUUUAAGAGAAUACGAAAAUUAACUCAAAAUUUAAGAGACAAAGACAGAUUUUUUGAAGUUUUAUUCUGAACUUUAAAUAAAAUAAACUAAUUAAUUUUAAUUAACCAACAAAAGUUAGUGAUUAUUAUUAUAUUUAAAUUGGGUUUAAACUUAUUAUGAACCCGUUUAGUUAAUGGAACUUGGUUUCCGUGAACCCAUUUAUUCAUUUAGUUAGGUAAUUAAAUUUUAUCAUUUUGUUUUUAGUAUGUGUGAACUUUUGUAGGGUCAAAAAUAAUAUUUUCAUGGGGUCAAAAUAUUACUUAUCUAAAAGAAUAUAUAUAUAUAUAUAUUUCAAAAUGAAGUGGGGUCAACUGACCCCCUACUCCCUUCUUACAUCCGCUCCUGUAUCUACCUGAUGGCUUUUGCCUUACACCUUUGUGCUUCUUCUCCUUGUCUAUCUCUACAUGCACUGGGAAUGCGCAACCGGAGCAACCGGUAAUAUUGCAGAGAGGACAAGGACCAGCGUCAAAAGGUUGAUGAAGACUUUCGAAUGCAACCGCGUUCGUUGAUGAAUUGUCACCUCGGUCGUUAGAUAUCACUUGUCGUAGAGCAGACACCAUUAUCACAAUGCUCUUGAUCUCUUGUUAAACGAGAAGGUUUGACAUCGCAAGAGGGGAUAUUUUCUGGAUUCACCAUUUUCGUGGAGUCCAACUGUAAACAAUUUUUCGUUCACGGAAAAGGAUCCAAUGCGUUAAGGUAUGUAAACAAAGAACAGGCCUCUUUAUAUAGUACAAAGAAGGUGGAAUCUUUGUGGCCCUAUGACAAUCUUAUCAAGUUUUAAACACGGGACAUGAAUGAACUUGUGUGACAUCACUUCUUUAUAUAGUACAAAGAAGGUGGAAUCUUUGUGGCCCUGCGGGAGAGCCCAAGAUGGACUCUUUUUUCUGGUAUUCAAAUAAGGUCGAAAAUAUGACAUCAUAUUUACGUGGUCACAAAGUAAAGUGUAGUGGAGUGUUUUCGAAUCUAAAUUGUUUAACAAGCCAAAAUUCGCGUACCAGUAAACCAUCAUCUUGUGGUUGUAACAUCAUUUUUAGAUAUUUAUAUCUGCAGUAAAAGUGAUUUCAAUAAGAAACACACAUACUUAAUUUAUUCGACACACUUACUAAUUAGAUUAUGAAUGGAAAAAGUGGAUCAGAUGUAGCGGAUAUAGCGGAUUUGACGGAUCAAGCGAAACAAGAGUGGAUCUAACGGAUUUAGUGAUACAAAAGUGGAUAAAGCGGAUCUAACGGUCCAAAACAUUUGUUAUUUUAAAAUUUUGAAAAAGAAUAAAAGUGAAAGAUGGACUACCUAUAACACUCCAUUUAUGGAUAGUUAUAGACCGAUCAGUUCAUUUAUUUAAUAGUUUUGACUGCUUGUGGAUCAAAAUUAUCUACAAAUGGAUGACACAUUUAUUUUUAUUUUAUUGAAGAGUCAUUUUUGGGUUCACCCUAAGGGGUGAACCUCUAGAUUCACCAACCAAUAGGAUUUCAUUAUUUCAAAUUCGAUAUCUUUUAAAAAGGAAACAAAAUAUUCUCAAAUUAUAUUAUGUUUUUAAAAUAAAAAAGUAAAAAAAAGAUAAUAGUUACAGAAAAAAGAAUUAAAAAAAAAUAUAUUUUUAAUAUUCUCAACAAAACACUAA